rnacentral:rRNA from 1 species
UACGGAGGGUGCAAGCGUUAUCCGGAUUCACUGGGUUUAAAGGGUGCGUAGGUGGGUCGGUAAGUCAGUGGUGAAAUCUCCGAGCUUAACUUGGAAACUGCCAUUGAUACUAUCAGUCUUGAAUACCGUGGAGGUCAGCGGAAUAUGUCAUGUAGCGGUGAAAUGCUUAGAUAUGACGUAGAACACCAAUUGCGAAGGCAGCUGACUACGCGAAUAUUGACGCUGAUGCACGAAAGCGUGGGGAUCAAACAGG